UACGUAGGGUCCAAGCGUUGUCCGGAUUUAUUGGGCGUAAAGAGCUCGUAGGCGGCUCAGUAAGUCGGAUGUGAAAACUCGGGGCUCAACCCCGAGACGCCAUCCGAUACUGCUGUGGCUUGAGUCUGGUAGGGGAACACGGAAUUCCUGGUGUAGCGGUGAAAUGCGCAGAUAUCAGGAGGAACACCGAUGGCGAAGGCAGUGUUCUGGGCCAGUACUGACACUGAGGCACGAAAGCCAAGGGAGCAAACAGG
rnacentral:rRNA from 1 species